rnacentral:rRNA from 1 species
AUGAAGUUUUUCAAAGAAAUCCAUUACAUUACAAUUUCAAAGGAAAAUUUGCACCCCCCAGGCUUGCGCAAGGGUAUCGGAACCAUCAUCAUCCUCACUGCAUGGCUCCUCUGGAAACAUCGCAAUGCCUACGUCUUCGACGGCGCACAACCCUCCAACACGGAGCUUGUCCGUGACAUCAAACUAGAGGCCCGUCUAUGGACACGCGGGAGCCACCGGCUUGGCCAACAUUAUCCUUGUAACAUAAAACCCUUGUACUGA